CGUAGAAGAAGAACGCAUGACCGAGGGGCGUGUGUCUUCCUGACAGGUCUUUACCAGGUUUGCACACACAGUGGCUGGUAUUUUGGCCCAUUCCUCUACGCCAGGGGUCGGCAACCUUUACCACUCAAAGAGCCAUUUCGACCCUGUGAGAGGCGGGGCGUGGUCACGCGCCGCCUGACGGCGAUGGCAUGCACAGGAGCCGGCUGGAAGCAAGAUGACAGGUGAGUGGAUACCUCAGCUGGAACGAGUUAUCAAAUCACCUGUCUCUAUUUAGCAGCGUUGGUGACUGCAGGGCGGGGCUGAAAAGCCAGAAGGACCCCAGGAGGUGCUGAGGACGCCAGAAAGGUUGUUGGAGGACUGAGCGAGUUAAAAACUUUGUGAGUGAACGAACUAAGACUGAAAAGACUUGGGGAGCGAACGAAGAAGAUGAACUGUUGUGAAAAUUAAAAAUGAAAAGAAAAUCCUUUUGGGAACAAACGAAAGAAGAAAUAUUGUGUGUAAAAAGAUUAAAAAGAAUUGUCAACUUGAA